CCGACCCGGCUUCAUACCCGGCCACAACGCCCGGGUACAGUCCGGGUUCGGACCUGGCGGGUAUUUUUGCCACCUCUAGUUCAAAUUAAAGAAUAUUUAUAUACCUAUUAAAAAAAUUAAAGAAAAAAAUUUUAUCUAUGAAUGAUAGCUAAGUAAUUCACUUGGCAAAAUUUCUCAACAAGUAUAACAAACAUGAGGUUUGAGUGGAUAAAGUUUAAAUUAAUUUUUUAGUCUCUACCAUUUGUAGGAUUUGAAUUUUGGUGAUCAGUCAAAUAAAAUUAUUUGAAAACUAUUCAAUCAAGUUCUUGAGAACAAACACUCACAUAUAAAAUUAUUUUCAUUAACUUCUUCCAAGUUUUGACGUGUUAAUGAGAAAUAUUUCUGUCCAUAUGAUGAAUGAAAUUUACUUCAUAAAUUUAUAUAAAAUGUCACAAAUUUAAAUAACAUAAUGCAUACCUACUCUUAUAAACCAAAUAGCUACUUUAUAUGUCCUUAAAGAUUGAGUCGAAAGAUUAUCAAAUAGUUUUAUUUAAUUAUUCAAUUGACCUUAAAAACGAACUAGAGCCUUUUCACCGCUUGCAAGUUGCAAUAAGCCAAGAAAGCAAGAGAGCAAUCAAAAGCCAACUAGCAUCCCCAGCCAAAGAGUAUAUCAUUCAUGUCGUAUAUAGUAAGUGAAAGGGGUGGCCAUGUGCCCCACAACUUUCUCUCCCCAUUUUCCUCGUAAGUAUCUGAAGUUACAAAAUUUAUAUAAUAAGGUAAUUUUCUAAUACAAAAGCACCUGCGACGAAAGGCUAGGUUUAGCUGGUCAUAUCUGAGGAAUCUGUUAAUUGUGAUCAUUAAUCAUUAAGCAUAAAAAAUAACAUUCAUCAAUUCUGUACUUUUGUCAUUUAAUUUAAAUAAUACCACUUGGGCCAUUUCUCUGUUGUUUUAGAGGAGGCAAGACAAAAUAUUUCUCAGGUUCCUUCAACUUCUAGCUUCAAUCAGUGGAGAAGCUAACCACAUUUUUUUUUUCCAGGGGUUGAAUUUUUUUUUUAAAUUCAGUAUUUUUUAUUGUACAAGGAUAACUUUAGUAAUAAGAAAUUGAAGAUACACUUAAUAAAAGGAGCUAUAAUGAAUCUUAACUCUCAAAAUAUUUAUUCUAAACGUCAUUUGAGAUUACGCAUUUACUACCCAAAUGAUGAGCUCAGAUAAGUGAUGAUAAUUACAGAGGGAACAUAACUAAUUAAUAUAAAAAUUCUUAUAUAGGUUUCAGUAAAGGCAAUUUUAUAAUUAAAUAAACUUUUUUUUUCACCGGCUUCAUCCCUCUCCUUUGCGAAUAUCAAAUCUAUAAUUGUCAAAUGUGUUAUUUUUCUUUUAACUUAAAUUUUUUUAGAUAUAUUACUACUAUUCUAAUCAAGGGACUUUUUAAAGUUAAAAUCCAUUAUAUAGCAUAGCUUGAAAAUUGAGGCUUGAUUAAUAAAAGCAAGAUCCAUCUCUACAUUAUAAAUAUUUAUUUAUAUGAGUAAUGCAAGAGCCACAAUUUUAAGCACAAUUAUUUAUAAAGGUUAUUUUUACCCAGGAGACCCAUGUUUGGACAUUCAUCAUAUAGCUGACACUUGUUUAGAAAAUACUCCCACAAGUGACAAAAUGUUAAGCUUGACUAUUAACCCUAACAGUCCAUUGGUAAAAUAAGAACAAUUGAUACAAAUUAUUAAAUAAAGAAUAAAAUGUUUCUCAAACCCAAGCCAUGACAUAAACCCACCGCAAACAUCAUUUCAAAGCUUGAGAUUAAGCUCAACUGGCAUCUAUGGGAAAUAAAGAGAAGACAUGGAAUUAGAGGGAAAAUUUGGGUAUAUUCCCCCUAUAUAUUUCACAAGUAACCCACUUACCACCGACUACAAAAACCCUAUUGGCCCUUCAUUUAUCUUUUCAUCUUCCUCUUUUUCUUAUCUCCAGUUGAGAGAACAGAAAGAUUUUAUGUGAACUCACCCAAAAACUAAAAAAGGCAAGCAGUAUCCAAGAGUUUUGAAGAUCUAUUUGGGUAUGAGCUUCUUGUUUAUCAAAUCUAUUAUUGAUUUUUUUUUUUAUGAUAUUACAUGUGUUUCAUAAAUAUUUUCAAAGUAUUGGAGGGCCUUGGCUUAAGAUUUCUAAGUAUCCGACCCAAAAGACUAUCAUAUUGGGUGUAGUGGCCUAUCUUACAAAUUAACCCAAGUAUCCUCUUUUUACUAACUAAUGUGGAAUAUAACUCAACAAUCACAAGUAUCCCUCUUUUACUAGCCAAUGUAGGACACAAUUCAACAAUCACAAGUAUCUCCAUUUUACUAGCUAAUGUGGAAUAACUCAACAAUCCCCUCAUCGGACGAAACCAUUGUCAGAGCCCAGUCCUUUCGUGCAACGCCCUUGAGUUGUUCCACCACCACAUUUCGGAUACUAAGGUCUAACUCUGAUACCAAUUGUUGGGGGGUCUUUGCCUCAAGAUUUCUAAGUAUCCAACCCAAUAGACUAGCUUAUUAGAUAAAGUGACCUAUCCUACAUAUUAAUGCAAGUAUCUCCCUUUUACUAGCGAAUGUAGGACAUAACUUAACAAUAAGCAUCUUUUUUUUACUAGUCAAUGUGGGCAACACACGACAACCACUUGUUAGGGAAUUUUAAUCCCACCCAAAAUAUUGAAGGCAAAAAUAUCAUACAAAUAAUAAACAAAAAAUAGAUAGGGAAUAAAAUAAAUCACACAACAUAAGAAUUUAUGUGAAAAACUCAUAUAUUAGAGAAAAAUCACAAUUGCUGAGGAUGAUGAGAAAAAAAUCUACUAUGUAAAAAAUUAUUAUAGUCACUUUUGUAUUUUUCCUCACACCCAAAACUCCAACAACACUCAGUUCUCUCAAUAAACCUACUAUUUCUCUUACACUAGAAAUUGUCUACUUGCAUAGAACUGAUUGAUGUAUUAUACCAAAAAGUGAACCAAACCUCUCUAUAUAUACUAAUUAUUUUUGUAAGAGAAGUAUACUAGCUAUAUUCCUUUUUGAAUAAAUCAAGUUUCAAAUGAAAAAUUACUUAUUCCUUAAAUAUGAAUGCUACUAUAGAAGAAGAUAUUUUAGGAAAUUCUCAUUGAAAAAUAAGACAUAUUUCCCAACACAAAGUUUGUUGUAUUGUGAUUAUGGAGCAAGUUUUGUUCAUCUUAUUUUUAGAAUGUGUACCUUGAUAUUAUUGAACUUGGUUGACCAUCACCUGCAUAUUUUAAUAUUAAAGAGAUAUAUUUGAUGUUGUCAUUUGUAGCUUUGUUUUGUUAGUUGUUAAGUUGUGUUAACAUAAACUACAAUGCAUGUGAAAUGUAGCUAUGAAAUUGAAUUAUGUUAGAUGGUUUAUGGUUUAAUUAUAGCUCAGUUUUGUUAGUUGGUAACAUUUAUAUCAAAUUUUAUUAUGAAUUUUGAAUAUCAAUUGUAAUAGUAAAAGCAAUAUUCUCUAUGGUUAAAGGGGUUGAUGAUAAUGCACAUGUUUAUGUUCGAUUCAUUGGUAUUAAGUAUAAGCUUAAGGUUGUUGUUCUAGAUACAACGAGCGCUGUUUUUGUUAUCAAUAAAAUGAUAAGCAGGGUAUUGAGAAGGCACAUCAAAAUGUGAUGAGAAUUUACAAAUGACUAUUACUCAGCCUUUGGGAUGGUAAGCUAAUAUACAUAUGCAAUGAUGAUGACUUUUUCACACAAUUGUCUAUUAACAAUGACUAUGGUCUCUUUGAGGUACAUAAGCUUGAUAUGUGGUUUAGUCAAAAGAUCAUUGUUCUUUCCACUAGAAGCAAUCCACUCACUACAUAGUCAAUGAAAGUGGUUCAAACAUUGUGGUUUACAUGUAGCAUGUGCAAGAGCAACGCACCAACCAUGUGGGCAAACAUUAGCUGAUAUAAUAUGGUCAAUGUUUGGACAAAGUUGGAUUAGGGUGCAAAGAAUGAAGGUUUUGACUGGAAUGAGACAAAAACUACCAGGUAUCAGACAAAAAAGACCGAAUCAAUCACUAAUUACCAGAUAAAGAAGACUAAAAACGAAAGAGAAAUGGAAAUCUCCUGAUUUCCCAAAGGAAAUGUAAAUUAUUUGUUCUAUUACACUUAAAUAUUUAGGCUUAGGCUUAGUUGAAUGAAAUUUGGUAGAUUAAUAACUUUAUAUCUUAAAUUUGAUGCAGUGAUCAACUUGAAUGUAAUUAUAUUAUUGGUAGCAAAGUAGAUAGUAUAUAGUGGAAGUAAUUAUAUGUUAAACUUCUUUCACAAUGCCAUAUACAACUAGGAAUGAUAGAGAUUCACAAGCUAUUCAAAUUACUUUUUUGAUUGAAUCCCAAGUAUGUUAAAUUAUUAAUAAUUAAACAUUAUCUAUAUUUGAUUACUUAUUAGGUAAAUGUGGCAUUUUGAAAGUGAUUGGAUUUAGAAUUAGAUGGAUACAUGAAAAAUAGGCAAAUAUUUUUGUUAUAUUUUGUUCCUUAGGGGAUUAAGUACUUUGUUCCAACCACUGUGUGAUAAAGCCUUUAUGGACAAUUAUCUAUAAGCUCUGUUUGCCAUUUUAUUUGUGCAAUGUAUGUACUGCACUUUAGCUUUUAAAACUAUUUCUUUUCCAUUUAUGAUGUUGCCAUUUCACAAGUAUAUAGUUACAUUAUAACCUUAAGCCUUAAAGAAAAUGAUACACAUGUAGACAAAUAGAAAAAGGUGAUGUAGUUCAAACAUAUUUGGACACUCCUUAUUUGUUUCCAUUACGGUCAGUCUCUAUAAAAUCUUAUCACCAAUCCAUUGAUUCAUGUUGAACCUUAGCAGACUAACAGACUACUUUCCAUUCUUCUUAUUCUCUCUAAAAUUUUAUUAUUAAUUUUUUUAAUUCUUGUAGGACCUUCAUCUUGUUCCCGUUCUAACUAGUCUCCUCUUUGCAUUGUAUGGUGUCCACUAUUAAAAAAAGUCAAAUUUUUUAGUUAGAGUGCCAUACGUGUAGUGGCAAUGCAACAUUAAAGCUAGCUUGGCUUUUCAAAAGUCACAAAUCGAUUUUGAUAUUUGUCAUUUUUAAUUUGAUUUAUCAUGUAGGCCCCUAAUAAAAUUUAAAAAUAACUAAAAUAUUCGAUAUUUGUUUUUACGCCUGUAACACACAAAGAAAUAUUGUUAUUUUGAAAUCUUUAGGGCAUUAACUCUUUUCACGUAAAAGAACAAAUCUUAUUCAAUUUUAUCUAAUUGAUUUUUCUUCAUUGAAUCUUAUAGCACUUGAAUUUCAACAUGAUGUUUAUAUUAUAAAUGUGGGUUCUGAUGACAAAUUUCAGGAUUAAAAAGGAUUGGUGAGUUAGCAAGAAAAAUAGUUGAUACUAAAAAGGAUAAAUUAUUAUUUAUUAAUUUAUCUAUUUGUGACAUUAGUAUUGUUUUUAACAAAGGACAUUUUCAACUAUGAAUUUUGUGAAAAAUCGUCAACGAAAUCGGAUGGGAGAAACCAAUUGUAUACAAAGAAAAAUAUAUAUAUUUUGUAAUUUUGAUGGUAAGGUUAUUUUUAAAUAUUUUUAACAUAUGAAAACACGUCGAGAACAAUUAUAAAUGUACUGAAUUGAAUAUAUUAAUGAAUUUUUACUUUAUUUUUUGAUCAUUUUUAAAUUACUAUUAUUAUUUAAACUUAACCUCUAUUAGAUUGAAUUCUUGGCACUGCCAUUGUAUAGUUGUAAUUUAAACUUUUCAGCUUCGCUAUUGAUUCUAAUGAUUUUAUUAAUGGCCUUUAAGCCACAUAAGCAUAUUUCGUUGGGAAAUUAUAACACCUCUCCAUUCGCUUCAUCAUUGUUUGAGGUGAGUUUAAUGUUACUUGAAUAACUUGAGGUCGAUGGCAUUGUUGAAUGCUGUACUUUGUAGAUGUGUGUUUGUGUUUAAAAUGGUUGUUGUGGGAUCAUGCUAUGUUUGUAAUGUUUUGAGGUUUAGUUCUAGAAUAGGGAGUUUGUCAAUUUAUAAAUGCAUUUGAAAUUUGUCUCCAACGGUCAAAAUAUCAAUUUUUUUUUUUUUGACAUAAUGGUCUUUUCAUGGCUGGUAAACUUGCAAAUAUUUGGACAACUAAGGACGAUUUUCUAGUAUUAUUCAACUGUUUGGACAAAAUGGUCUUUUUAAUGUGUGGUAUUCUUGUAAAUAAUAAGUAGCCAAGGGCAUAUUUAUCAUCACAAUAUUAAAGCCAAGUUAGGGGAACAGAAACAUUAUGUCAAAUCGAAAAAGUUGAUUCCAUUAAAGUCAAUAGUCAAACAUAGUAUUUUGUCGCAUGUGUGAGUAUUCUCUAAACAACUAUCACCUGUGUGAUGAAUGUGCGAACAUUUAUUACCUCAAUAAAAUUAACUGAUUUUAUAGAAAUUAAUGUGGUAUAAUAAAGUAUUGGUUCAAUGAAAACAUAAAAUAAUAAAAUUAAAUUAUGUGAAUUUUGAUCUUUUAGUAUUUUAUCUAGCUAAUACUGUUAUGUAAUUCAAAUUGUCAAAGAAUUUGUAUUUUUUAACAUUAAUUUGUUUAUAAAGAAAGAAUGACUCCCAACUACUGUCUAAAUAAUAGAGAAAAGAGUGUUUUAUUUUUUCCCUCAAAUUAAAAAUUAAAAAAUUAAAAUUAAAAGUCUGGUCCCUCAUCUAUGGUUGAUUAUCAAAACGUGGCCGUGGCUAUAACCAUAAAGAUUGAUAUGUACAGUCGGUGUUCCCCAUAAUUUAAAAUAAAAAUAAAAUUAAUAGCAAAAAGGGAGCAUGCGUCAAGCACGUGAGAGAGCUGCGUUGUCAUCUCCAGCUUGUCCCAAAUGCGCCAAUGAGACAUUGUCACUGAUAAAAUAUUUAAAACAAAAAACAAUUACGAAAAUUAUUAAUUCAACAUCUUUCAUAUGCAUAUACAUGCCAAUGGAAAAAGAUUCUCUUCUAAUUUGAGUUCUUAUAAAUUUUUAAAGAUCUUAUAUUAUGUAUUUUUAAAUAUUAGUGUAUGGAUAUGACUUAAUUAUUUUAUUAUUUUAUUUUAUUAAUAAUCAAUCACCAUAUAUAUAUUUAUUUAAGAAGAGAUCAGAUUAAGAGAAAAUCUUAAUCCCAUACGAAGAACUUUUUUUCCCUCCCCAAAAAGAAAAUUCCGGUGCUUGUAAUGUAUACCUCUCAUUUAUUAGAUUUUUUUUAUCAUAUCUGUAUAUAUUUUAACGUAAUUAAUUGACAAAGACACGUAGUAAAAAUUCAACGAGCUAUAGUGUAUAAAAUGAAAGUACGCAAGACCUUUUUUUUCCCCUUUUUUUAAACCCAAAUCAGCAAUAAUGUUGGCUCCGAUACAAAAUUUUUGAUGCAAUUGAUGUGACAUUUCGAAUAACGUUAGAUAGAAUUUUUGUAUAAGUCUCACGUUCACAUGUGUCUGUUAACAUCUCUCUUAAACACUAACCAACAUAUUUAAUAAAUUAACUUGGACUACUACAACAUCACAGGUAAAAGCAAUCCCACUUUUGCUAGUAGAGAAUGAGAGAUGGAGAUCUUUUUUGGGUUUUAGAUAUGGAGCAAAGUGAAAUCCAUUUUUAUUGGGAUACAUGCGUGUGUAUAGACUAUAGAGUGAUCGCCACACCCACGACCCACCAUAGAAAAAAGAAAAUAAAAAGAUGCAAAAACAAACAAUGAAUUGAUGGGCAACACUUUCUUCUUAAAGCAUGAAAGGGAGCUGCCAUCGCUAUUUUAAUAAACCAAGUGCUGGGACAUAAGUGCAUGUGGAAAUGGUCCUUUUGGGUUAUUGGGUCGAAUCUCACUCACUCACUUAAGGCUAAGGGGUGUUCUCGAUUUAUGACUAAAAUAUUGGAAAUUAAAAUGUAAUUUGAUUUUUUUUUAAAAAAAAAAUGAAAUGAGAUAUCUGAACAUAAAACAACGAUUGCAGGUUUGAAACUAAUAUAGGAAUUAAUUUUGAAUUACCGCCCUCAUAAAAUGAUAAUUUUUUAAAUUCCUCUAAAUUAAUUUAAAUGUCAACUUAUCCCCAUUUUUGAAAAGAAGAUAAAAUAAUUUUCAUUAAUCCGUCCUCAUUUUUUUUUCUUAUCUUUUAAACAAGAAUAGAAGUAAGUUGAGUUCUUACCAUAGUUUGGGAGUAUUUUUAAGAUUAUCAUUUUACGAGUGGAAUUUACGGCACUGUAAAUUGAAAGGUAAAAAACUCAACUCAUCCUAAAAAGUUUAAAAAGGUGUUAAACUGCUGAGACAACCUAAUGAUACUUUGCCACGUGAAAGAAUAACGGAUCCUAUUGUAAGACCUACUAAUUUUUUACAUUAAGUUUAGUAGAUUCCACUAUUAGUCUCAUAAUAAUUGAGCUGGUGGGACUGCCCACACCAAUUCUUCUCCAACAAUACUAAACUCUACUAAUUAUAACAUUUGCGUCCCUUGAUCUAUAUCCUAAAUAGGCCCCUAAACUUAGCUUUUGUGCAAUUCUGAUUUUUAUCUUUACUAUUGAGUUUUUUACGGGACAUAUUAGAUCUUUCCUUAUUUUUUUAAAGAUAAAAAUAACAAAUUCUAUUAGAAGGGAAAAGUUGGUCAAACUAUAUCAAAGGUCACAACAAGCUCAAAUACACUUAUGACAAUGUCUUAGACUAAGUCUCAAUUAGGGCAAUCCCUAAAAUCAUACACAUUGACUCCAUUCACUAUGAAUUCCUUAAAAUUGAAAGAAAACAAACUCUGCACACUAAAAGCCAAUAAAGAAUUAGAGAAAUUUUUUGGGUCUGGCCUAGUCAACCCACACAAAUUAUUGUAUAGGUGAAAGGCCACUUUCAAAUCGAUAAAAGAAAAUCCCAAAGUAUAUAUUAAUACAACACAAUACUAUUAAUUUAUUACAAGAUAAAAUAUAUUGCAUUGAAAAUUAUAUAUAUAUUUUAUUUUUUUUUAAUUUCUCUAUAACUUUAUAUAUAAAACCUAUACGAUGAGUGCCUAUGACUAGGGGUGGGCAUGGGUUGGUUUGGGUUGGAUUUUAAGUCAACCCAAACUAAACCAUAAAAAUUUGGAUCCAACCCAAAUAUUUUUAACCCAAAUCAAACCAAACCAUUUGGGUUUGGUUUGAAUUU
rnacentral:lncRNA from 1 species